rnacentral:rRNA from 1 species
AUACGUAGGGGGCGAGCGUUGCUCGGAUUCACUGGGCGUAAAGCGCGCGUAGGCGGCUUGUUAAGUGGGAAGUUAAAGACCCCGGCUCAACCGGGGGGCUGCUUCUCAAACUGGCAGGCUCGAGUGUAGGAGAGGGAAGUGGAAUUCCUGGUGUAGCGGUGAAAUGCGUUGAUAUCAGGAGGAACACCAAUGGCGAAGGCAGCUUCCUGGCCUACUACUGACGCUGAGGCGCGAAAGCGUGGGGAGCGAACGGGAUUAGAUACCCCGGUAGUCCACGCUGUAAACGAUGAGUGCUAGGUGUUGGAGGUAUUGAGCCCUCCAGUGCCGCAGCUAACGCAUUAAGCACUCCGCCUGGGGACUACGGCCGCAAGGUUGAA